rnacentral:ncRNA from 1 species
AAAAAUGCUUUGAAAAGGACCGAAGAAAAUGGAUUCUUCAAGAGAGGGAUUGGUUGCUGUGAAAAUCCUAAGAAUUAUUUUCGUGAGACCGCCUUGGAGCAGACCGGGAUUGACCGGCUCCGGACGCUGACCGUUACUCAGAUAAUAAAGAGGGCACCGUUCGUGCCAAAAAGGGUGGAACCGCGUUCAAAUCGUCCCUUUA